rnacentral:rRNA from 1 species
GAUGAACGCUGGCGGCGUGCCUAAUACAUGCAAGUCGAGCGAACAGAUGAGGAGCUUGCUCUUCUGACGUUAGCGGCGGACGGGUGAGUAACACGUGGAUAACCUACCUAUAAGACUGGGAUAACUUCGGGAAACCGGAGCUAAUACCGGAUAAUAUAUUGAACCGCAUGGUUCAAUAGUGAAAGACGGUUUUGCUGUCACUUAUAGAUGGAUCCGCGCCGCAUUAGCUAGUUGGUAAGGUAACGGCUUACCAAGGCAACGAUGCGUAGCCGACCUGAGAGGGUGAUCGGCCACACUGGAACUGAGACACGGUCCAGACUCCUACGGGAGGCAGCAGUAGGGAAUCUUCCGCAAUGGGCGAAAGCCUGACGGAGCAACGCCGCGUGAGUGAUGAAGGUCUUCGGAUCGUAAAACUCUGUUAUUAGGGAAGAACAAAUGUGUAAGUAACGAUGCACGUCUUGACGGUACCUAAUCAGAAAGCCACGGCUAACUACGU